AGUGAACGCUGGCGGUAGGCCUAACACAUGCAAGUCGAACGGCAGCACAGUAAGAGCUUGCUCUUACGGGUGGCGAGUGGCGGACGGGUGAGGAAUACAUCGGAAUCUACUUUUUCGUGGGGGAUAACGUAGGGAAACUUACGCUAAUACCGCAUACGACCUACGGGUGAAAGCAGGGGAUCUUCGGACCUUGCGCGAUUGAAUGAGCCGAUGUCGGAUUAGCUAGUUGGCGGGGUAAAGGCCCACCAAGGCGACGAUCCGUAGCUGGUCUGAGAGGAUGGUCGGCCACAUUGGAACUGAGACACGGUCCAGAGUCCUACGGGAGGCAGCAGUGGGGAAUAUUGGACAAUGGGCGCAAGCCUGAUCCAGCCAUACCGCGUGGGUGAAGAAGGCCUUCGGGUUGUAAAGCCCUUUUGUUGGGAAAGAAAAGCAGCAGGUUAAUACCCCGCUGUUCUGACGGUACCCAAAGAAUAAGCACCGGCUAACUUCGUG
rnacentral:rRNA from 1 species